rnacentral:rRNA from 1 species
AGCGAACGCUGGCGGCAGGCUUAACACAUGCAAGUCGAGCGGGCGUAGCAAUACGUCAGCGGCAGACGGGUGAGUAACACGUGGGAACGUACCUUUUGGUUCGGAACAACACAGGGAAACUUGUGCUAAUACCGGAUAAGCCCUUACGGGGAAAGAUUUAUCGCCAAAAGAUCGGCCCGCGUCUGAUUAGCUUGUUGGUGAGGUAACGGCUCACCAAGGCGACGAUCAGUAGCUGGUCNGAGAGGAUGAUCAGCCACACUGGGACUGAGACACGGCCCAGACUCCUACGGGAGGCAGCAGUGGGGAAUAUUGGACAAUGGGCGAAAGCCUGAUCCAGCCAUGCCGCGUGAGUGAUGAAGGCCCUAGGGUUGUAAAGCUCUUUUGUGCGGGAAG